GAAUUUUGUACAAGAAGUACCCUGGAAUUUUUAAUGACCACAGAGAGUCAGGACCUUGGUUUAACAUCUCAUCCAAUAGAUGGUGCUUUUUUAAGGUAUAGAGUCCCUGUCACAGUACUGAGGCAUAAGGACCCACACAGACCACAGGGUGAGCACCCCUUGCUGGCCUCCCUAAUACCUCUUCAAGCAGCAACCUUAGUUUUUCCCAGGGGGUCUCCCAUCCAGGUACUGGCCAGGCUCAACCCUGCUUAGCUUUAGUGGGCAACUAGGCAAGAGCUGCAGGGUGAUAUGGCUGCUGACAAAUGAUGAUGACAUCAGAUUCUAUGCCAGAUUUGCCAGCUACCACUAUCUACAGGCAUCUUGGAGACAGAUUGAACCUGCAACGAGGAGAAUCGUGCGUGUUCGUACACUGUCAUCCACUUCUAGCACAACAGCAGCUCCUGACAAGGCCGCUGAUCCACCUUGUCGACCACAUAAAAAUUUCUGACGGUGAGACAAGGACCCGCGUCCUGUGAUGAAACGCUCAAAAUGCUCAAGUAUCCCGUAUUCACGUGACAUUC